rnacentral:rRNA from 1 species
UACGUAGGGGGCAAGCGUUGUCCGGAAUCAUUGGGCGUAAAGAGCGUGUAGGCGGCUCGGUAAGUCCGCUGUGAAAGUCCAGGGCUCAACCCUGGAAUGCCGGUGGAAACUGUCGAGCUAGAGUCCGGUAGAGGCGUGUGGAAUUCCGGGUGUAGUGGUGAAAUGCGUAGAGAUCCGGAGGAACACCAGUGGCGAAGGCGACACGCUGGGCCGUACCUGACGCUAAAGCGCGACAGCAUGGGGAGCAAACGGG